rnacentral:tRNA from 1 species
CCUUCGAUAGCUCAGNNGGUAGAGCGGUGGACUGUAGAUCCAUAGGNCGCUGGUUCAAAUCCGGCUCGAAGGACCA